rnacentral:rRNA from 1 species
UACAGAGGGGGCAAGCGUUGUUCGGAAUUACUGGGCGUAAAGGGCGCGUAGGCGGCCUGUUAAGUCGAACGUGAAAUCCCCGGGCUCAACCCGGGAACUGCGUCCGAUACUGGCAGGCUUGAAUUCGGGAGAGGGAUGCGGAAUUCCAGGUGUAGCGGUGAAAUGCGUAGAUAUCUGGAGGAACACCGGUGGCGGAAGGCGGGUCUCUGGACAGUUCCUGACACUGAGGCACGAAGGCCAGGGGAGCAAACGGG